AGAUUUAUUGCCCAAAAUCCCAGGGUUUUUCCUCAAAAUCUCAGGGAUCUCCUUCCCCAAAAUCCCAGAUUUUUCCCCAAAAUCCCAGGUUUUUCCCCACAUUCCCGGGGUUUUUCCGGCACCGUCCACGCGGAUGGACAGCAGCCCGUAACCGGGACCCCGCGCCGCUGCCGGGAGAACUCCGUGGGGAAAAUCCAUGGGAAAAACCCUCGGGGAAGCCGUCCUGCUGCUCCCAGGGAUCCCCAAAAUCCCAGGGAUGUCUUUCCCCAAAAUCCCAGGUUUUUUCUCCAAAAUCCCAGGAUUUUUCCCCAAAAUCCCAGGAUUUUUCCUCAAAAUCUCACGGUUUUUUCCCCAAAUUCCCAGGUUUUUUCCCCAAAAUCCCAGGUUUUUCCGCAAAAUCCCAGGGGUUUUCCCCAAAAUCCCAGGUUUUUUCCCCAAAAUCCCAGGUUUUUUCCCCAAAAUCCCAGGGUUUUUCCCCAAAAUCCCCCUGGGGUUUUCCCCAAAAUCCCAGUUUUUUUCCCCAAAAUCCCAGGUUUUUCCCCAAAAUCCCAGGAAUCUCCUUCCCCAAAAUCCCAGGUUUUUCCCCAAAAUCCCAGGCUUUUUCCCCAG
rnacentral:lncRNA from 1 species